rnacentral:rRNA from 1 species
AGAGUUUGAUCAUGGCUCAGGAUGAACGCUAGCGGCAGGCUUCAUACAUGCAAGUCGAGGGGCAGCAUAAAUUACUUGUAAUUUGAUGGCGACCGGCGAACGGGUGCGUAACGCGUAUGCAACUUACCUUUUACUAGAGAAUAGCCAAGAGAAAUUUUGAUUAAUGCUCUAUGUUCUUAUUUACUCGCAUGAGUAAAUAAGCAAAGCUCCGGCGGUAAAAGAUGGGCAUGCGUCCUAUUAGCUUGUAGGUGAGGUAAUGGCUCACCUAAGCUCCGAUAGGUAGGGGUCCUGAGAGGGAGAUCCCCCACACUGGUACUGAGACACGGACCAGACUUCUACGGAAGGCAGCAGUAAGGAAUAUUGGACAAUGGAGGCAACUCUGAUCCAGCCAUGCCGCGUGAAGGAAGACGGCCUUAUGGGUUGUAAACUUCUUUUGUACAGGAAGAAACCUUUCCACGUGUGGAAAGCUGACGGUACUGUAAGAAUAAGGAUCGGCUAACUCCGUGCCAGCCGCCGCGGU